GGGGCGGGAGCAGAGAGACAAGGAAAUGCUGUCACCGCCGUUUAAGAAGCACGUGGAGGUUUGUUAAAGGUAGUGGGAGGCAUAGUUUUUGGCAAUAGCCAGCCAAGGAUACAGGGAACAGGUGCGGCGCCUGCACGCUGACUUCACGUGGUGGAUGUCUGGCUGAGAGAGAAGUAGGAAAUCCUCACAACGCUUCUUCCAGCUUUGAUCUGCCUGGGGCAGCCCGUGGUGGAAGAUGACUCUGUAGCCCUGGUGUCUACCAGUAUCCGGAGUGGGAGCCCCAAGAGCCAUGUAGACAGGCACCCAGCACUGUGCCAGCUAUGUGGGAGUUGGCUGGCUCUGGGGACGAGCUGUUGGCAGUGCAGGUGGCUGGCGACAAGGAUGGAGUGUGAGGCCUCGAGACAGGAUGGCAGGCAGCACAGAAGCCUCCGCACUCAGCAGAGCUGCGGUCCUGGCUGCUCUGAGGAUGGAGACUACAGGAGGACUCGGAAUCCUCUGGGAGUGGAGUUACAGCUGGUUGAGAGCCACGUGAGUGCUGGGAAUCAACCUUGGAACCUCUGGAAAAAGCGGCGAGUCAACCACAACCCAUCGCUCAAGCCCCAUUGCUGGGCCUGGUGACAACGCAUGUCAGUCCUGCCUCAGCCCCCUGAAUGCAUGUUUACAGAUGUGCACCAGAGCACCUGACUCAAGUUUUAAACGAUCAUUUUGAGCACUCCUUCUCAUGGCCAUUUCCCUGUAAAUCAGCAGAGACACUGGGGAAUGGAGCAGUUUGACUCCCAUGGCUGCUGGAGUCUCCUUUACUGCCCCGUCUGUCUUGAGCAACACUGGGCUCUGUCUGUUCUUGUCUGCUUUUAGAGUGGGCUGAGCUGGUAACAUAAAGGAGCAACAGCUGAGUGGCGGUGAUGACGCCUUUAAUCCCAGCCCUCAGGAGGCAGAGGUAGGCAGAUUUCUGAGUCUCAGGCCAGCCUGGGCUACAGAAAAAAAAAAAGGGAAGGAAGAAAAAAGCAGCAGCAGAGACUGCAAAGUGACCAGAGAGCUAAGCAGCCGGCAGGGCAGGCUACCAAAGCAGCAAGAUGGCGGCCACAGGGCAGCUAAAAAGACAAGAGUUGACAGCUGGCAGAAUGGCCAGCUGCCCUGACAGCAGCAGAAGCAAAAGCAGCCGUGAGCACACUCCAGAACCCAGAGGUCAUCAUGGUCAGGACUACUUGGCCUAAGACCUGAAGAGACUCCAGGGGAGAAGCCAUUUCCUGCCCACCCCAAAUGAUGGUGACUCCAGCUUCCCGUAAGAUCUGACGAUGAUCUGCCUCAGUUUCAAAAGCAAGCCAAAAGGGUUAAGAGCUUUUCCUGCAAGGCCCCGCUCGAGCAUCCCAGCCCCGGGCUUGCCAGGGUGAGCUUUUCCUUUGCUUACACUCAUCGAUUCAGGCCAGGCCUGCCUUCACCACACUCCCCACACCAUCUAAGAUGAGGAGAACUGGGAGACUCGUGUGUCGGUCCGGCUGUGCUGAGUCCAGAGUGCCCCCUGGUGGACACUGGUAGCCCUCUAAAUCUGAAUCUCUUCAUUGGGGCAGAGCCUCUAGGCUUGUGCUAAGGCAGGCUACCAGCUCAAUCCAGCGGGAGCUAGAUGCAAGCCAGUCUGGGAAAGAAGAAAGGCAAGGCCAGCAUUCCUGAGCAGCAGGACAUAGCUGUCCUACUCUAAAGGCUGUCUGUCUGCUCAACCUUCAUCAACCUUCACACAGAGACACAAGGGCCUCCAGGAACCAGAAGACGGCAACUCCUUUAAGCCAGCAGUUCUCAGCCUAUGGGUCGUGACCCAUUUGGCAAACCUCUCCAAAAGUAUUUACAUGACACUUCGUAAGAGUAGCAAAAGUAUGGCUGUGAAGUGGCAGAAAAAAUAAUGUUAUGUUUGGGGGUCACCACAACAUGAGGGACUGCACUAAAGGGUUGCUGCGUAAGGAAGGCUGAGAAGCGCUGCCUUAAGUGGACUAACCCCUUUACCCAGGACAACUGAUCUGACUGUGUAGGUCAUAGACUCAGCAGGGCUAACAACUACAUGGAAGAAUGAACACUUUCCACUUUUGUGUAUAUGCAGUAAUAGCUGGCAGAAUUUUUCUCUUCUCAUUUCCCCACAACUGGAUAGUUGACCUCCAUAUCAACAGGUUCUGUAGCCACAGAUUCAACCAACCAUGCAUCAAGAAAUGUUGGUGCUACAUAAUCUGCAGAUGACUUAAGGUAUGCGGCAGAUGUGCAACUUACAGGUAACUUCUAUACAUUAUAUAUAAGUCUUGAGCAUCUACGGGUUCUGGAAUCUCCAGGAGCUCCUGUGGGUACCAAAGGAUCACUGUAUCCUCCUAUAAUUUUUAAACUUUAAUUUUACUUUAUUUGAGACAGGAAUCUUGCACCAUAUCCCAGGUUGGCCUGGGACUCGUUUACUAGUCUCUCAAGGGCUGGGAUUACAGGUGUGUGCCACCAGGCCCAGCCGCUUACUUUUGAUAAGAGAGAAACUAAGAGUACUGGCUAUUCUUCCAGAAGACCCAUGUUCAAGUCCCAGCACCCACAUGGUCAUCACAAUCCUCUGUAUCUCCAGUUCCAAGGGCUGGCCUCCUCUAGCCUCCAGUGCAGGAUGCACAUAUGCAAGUGGUGUAAAACGUACAUGCAGGGGAAAACCCAUACACAUAGCAUUUUAAACAAAUAAAGGGCAAGCAAGAGGCUGGAUGUGGUGGCACACGCCUUUAAUCUCAGCACAUGGGAGGCAGGGGAAACUGGAUCUCUAGGAGUUUGAAGCCAGCCUGGUCUACAUAGUGAGCCCAUUAAAAAAAAUCC
rnacentral:lncRNA from 1 species